CAGUAGCCGCGGUAACACGUAGGGUGCAAGCGUUAAUCGGGAUUACUGGGCGUAAAGCGUGCGCAGGCGGUUUGUUAAGACAGAUGUGAAAUCCCCGGGCUCAACCUGGGAACUGCAUUUGUGACUGGCAAGCUAGAGUGUGGCAGAGGGGGGUGGAAUUCCGCGUGUAGCAGUGAAAUGCGUAGAUAUGCGGAGGAACACCGAUGGCGAAGGCAGCCCCCUGGGCCAACACUGACGCUCAUGCACGAAAGCGUGGGGAGCUUACAGGAUUAGAUACCCCGGUAGUCCCUGUCUCUUAUAC
rnacentral:rRNA from 1 species